rnacentral:rRNA from 1 species
CUUAGCCCUAAACCCUAAUAAUUCAAUAACAAAAUUAUUUGCCAGAGAACUACUAGCCACCGCUUAAAACUCAAAGGACUUGGCGGUACUUUAUAUCCACCUAGAGGAGCCUGUUCUGUAAUCGAUAAACCCCGCUUUACCUCACCACCCCUUGCUAAUUCAGCCUAUAUACCGCCAUCUUCAGCAAACCUUUAAAAAGAAUAAUAGUAAGCAAGAGUACUAAACCGUAAAAACGUUAGGUCAAGGUGUAGCUAAUGGAGUGGAAAGAAAUGGGCUACAUUUUCUCAACAUAGAACAUAAACGAAAAUCUUUAUGAAAUUAAAGAAUAAAGGAGGAUUUAGUAGUAAAUUAAGAAUAGAGAGCUUAAUUGAAUUGAGCAAUGAAGUA